rnacentral:tRNA from 1 species
AGCUCCGUGGUGUUUAGCUCGUUGGAUUGCAAAUCCAGAGGCGCAGAUUAGUUUCUGCCGGGGCUU